rnacentral:lncRNA from 1 species
UUUACAUUUGAAGGCAUUCCUUUAGACAGAGCCAGAAGCUGUUUGCUUUUGAAUGGGAAGGUCCAGGAAUAUUUUCUGGCUGAAGACUUGGCCUGGGAGCAAACUUUUUCAGCUUGAUGCAGGAGGUUAGGGAGUGGUUCAGUUGCAUCCUGCAAAGACCAUCACACCUUGGACGACCCGCCUUUACCGAAGAUCAGCAGCCCCGACACCAAGACAUCGCUGGAUGAGAGGUAGCCGUGGAAGGAAAUGGCUGCCCCAGUUAGAAGCUGAGAAUGAAAUGACUCCUUUUCGGCUGCAGCAUUAGAGGGGCCUUCAGUAGACCAUGUGCUACAUGAGCACUCAUCUCAGCCUUGGGAACACUCCUGGGAUGCACUUUUUUUUUCUCUAUCCAACCUCCAGGCGAUGAGGAGAAAGUGAAAUGAUAGUAGACAUGGUAGCAAAGCAAGAAUUCAGUAUCAUAGAAUCAUAGAAUGGCUUGGGUUGGGAGGGACCUCAAGACCAUCGUGUUCCAACCCCUUUGCCACAGGAGGACUCAGAACAGAAGAUAUAGUACUGGUUUUGCUAUGAUUGGAAUAAUAAAUUUAAAUUUAAG